rnacentral:rRNA from 1 species
CUACGGGCGGCAGCAGUGGGGAAUAUUGCACAAUGGAGGAAACUCUGAUGCAGCAACGCCGCGUGGAGGAUGACACUUUUCGGAGCGUAAACUCCUUUUAUAUAGGAAGAAGAUGACGGUACUAUAUGAACAAGCGCCGGCUAACUCCGUGCCAGCAGCCGCGGUAAUACGGAGGGCGCAAGCGUUACUCGGAAUCACUGGGCGUAAAGAGCGUGUAGGCGGAUUAAAAAGUCAGAAGUGAAAUCCUAUAACUUAACUAUAGAACUGCUUCUGAAACUCUUAAUCUAGAAUAUGGGAGAGGUAGAUGGAAUUUCUGGUGUAGGGGUAAAAUCCGUAGAGAUCAGAAGGAAUACCGAUUGCGAAGGCGAUCUACUAGAACAUUAUUGACGCUGAGACGCGAAAGCGUGGGGAGCAAACAGGAUUAGAUACCCUCGUAGUC